rnacentral:rRNA from 1 species
GACUGCUAUUUGGGUGAGGAUAAGCCAUGCGAGUUGUAUGGGAUCCCUAAACUUCCCAUAGCAAACUGCUCAGUAACACAUGAUCAACUUGCCCUAUGGAGAGCACUAACCUCGGGAAACUGAGGAUAAUGGCUCAUACUUGAUUAGGCUUGGAAAAGUUUUUCAAUGAAAGGCGUAAGAAAAAUGGUUCUUAUGCGCCAUAGGAUAGGAUCGUGCUCGAUUAUGGUAGUUGGUGAGGUAACGGCUCACCAAGCCGAUAAUCGAUAGGGGCCGUGAGAGCGGUUGCCCCGAGAUGGGUACUGAGACAGCGACCCAGGCCUUACGAGGCGCAGCAGGCGCGAGACCUCCGCAAUACACGCAAGUGUGACGGGGUUACCCAAAGUGUCCUUAUUGGACUGUGGCGGGUGAGUAAUGUUCCCCGCUAGAAAGGAGAGGGCAAGGCUGGUGCCAGCCGCCGCGGUAAAACCAGCUCUUCAAGUGGUCGGGAUAAUUAUUGGGCUUAAAGUGUCCGUAGCCGGUUUAGUAAGUUCCUGGUAAAACCGGGCAGCUUAACUGUCCGUAUGCUAGGAAUACUGCUAUGCUAGAGGGCGGGAGAGGUCUGAGGUACUACAGGGGUAGGGGUGAAAUCUUAUAAUCCUUGUAGGACCACCAGUGGCGAAAGCGUCAGACUGGAACGCGCCUGACGGUGAGGGACGAAAGCCAGGGGAGCGAACCGGAUUAGAUACCCGGGUAGUCCUGGCCGUAAACGAUGCAUACUAGGCAAUGGUGCGGCCAUGAGCCGCAUCAGUACCGUAGGGAAACCGUUAAGUGUGCCGCCUGGGAAGUACGGUCGCAAGGCUAAAACUUAAAGGAAUUGGCGGGGGAGCACCACAAGGGGUGAAGCCUGCGGUUCAAUUGGAUUC